AAGUUUUGCAAAAUUAUUUCUUCUAAUGACGUCUCUGAUUCAUUGGUUGAAUAAAGAAAAAGAUGUACCAAUAGAUACCUUAGACCCUAUAAUAAUAAAAGUUUGAAUAAUGCUAGAGAAUCAAGAGGGGUUCAACAAAAAAUCUGCCAACUCCUGUUGGGCUGGGAUCCUCAAGCCCACUUCACUCAAAAGUAACAUCCAAAUUUCACUCAGGUAAACCAAACUAACCCUAACUAAGCCCUCUCCUCUCUUUUCACCAUUUCAUCGCAGCAGAAUUCCAAAACCAUCUACAACAAUACCACACUAUCAGGUUCAUUGCGUGGCGUUCUCCUCCGUUGUCAACGGACGCAGCACCUCCGUCCACCACGUGCGGGCACCAGCCGACUACCAUAGCUCGCUUCAGGUUGCCGCAAAGCUUCCAUUCAGUCAACGCACUAACCAGUGUGUUAAUCGUAGUUUUGCCCAGCUCCGCCGCAGCGACGUCAUGCCACCCAGGUGCGAUGAACAAGGGGGUUCUCCUUCUCACCAAGGUUGCACUGCUGCGGAUGCAUGGCGCUGUUGGCAGUGCCAUUGAAGCCUCCCUGCUCUCAUCUGACGAACGCAAUAGGACGUCCUCUGCUCCAGCCUCAAAACCUCACUUGACAGAACUAAUUGGAAGUUGCAUUGGAAGCCAACUCAAAUAGCUUUGACAUCCAGUUUCCACCUUCCAAUGCGUAGCUUUGUGGCUGAGAAUAGGUUUUAUUAAAGGAUUUGAGCCUGUUAUAUAACUGUUUCUUGUGAACAAGCACCAGGGUUGUGUUGCCAUAAAGCCAGUCAAGAUGGGGAAAAAGAUAAAAUGAUAUUUACCGUUAAUGACGUGUCAUUCCACAUGAUCCUAUUUGUGACUUACAGCUACUGUUGUCAUUGACAGAAAUUAUUAGAGUCGCGAUGCUCGCUAGCUACGUCCAUGACAUGAUGAGCACACUAACUAAAAACAACGUCAUAGAGAAGCUUGCGGAGAUUGAUGAAAUCGAAUUCGGAUUCUUAAUUAAUUAUGUGGAUGGUGCUUCUGAUAGGCAUUAGGAUGUUUUUUUUCAUUGCGAAUUGGAUGGUGCUGAAUAUGUUUUCCGAGUUAUCAGGUGCAAUGCAUUUGCGGAUGCAUGUACUUCAUUGAGAAGUGGAUGACUUUUAUUUUUUUUAGAUAUUCCUCAGUAGGUUUCAUGUGUUAAGAAUUUGAGAUUGUCCAGUAAUUAGUUCACAAAUUGUGGUUGUCUCCAGUUCAUUAAGCAAUACAUUGCCUUAUUAUGCUAUUCAGUCUACUCUCGUUGGUGUAUAUACCCCAUUUGUUUUUUACUACAUAUAGGUGGCACUUUGAUGCAUUAACCGGAAUGAUGUUAACUAAAUGGAAGUUUAUUUAUUUUUUA